UACGUAGGGUGCAGGCGUUAAUCGGAAUUACUGGGCGUAAAGCGUGCGCAGGCGGUUUUGUAAGUCUGUCGUGAAAUCCCCGGGCUUAACCUGGGAAUGGCGAUGGAGACUGCAAGGCUAGAAUCUGGCAGAGGGGGGUAGAAUUCCACGUGUAGCAGUGAAAUGCGUAGAGAUGUGGAGGAACACCGAUGGCGAAGGCAGCCCCCUGGGUCAAGAUUGACGCUCAUGCACGAAAGCGUGGGGAGCAAACAGG
rnacentral:rRNA from 1 species